UACGUAGGGGGCAAGCGUUGUCCGGAAUCAUUGGGCGUAAAGAGCGCGUAGGCGGCCCAGUAAGUCCGCUCUGAAAGUCAGAGGCUCAACCUCUGGAUGCGGGUGGAUACUGCUGGGCUAGAGUCCGGAAGAGGCGAGUGGAAUUCCUGGUGUAGCGGUGAAAUGCGCAGAUAUCAGGAGGAACACCGAUGGCGAAGGCAGCUCGCUGGGACGGUACUGACGCUGAGGCGCGAAAGCGUGGGGAGCGAACAGG
rnacentral:rRNA from 1 species